rnacentral:rRNA from 1 species
GACGAACGCUGGCGGCGUGCUUAACACAUGCAAGUGGAGCGACGAACCAGGCUUCGGCCUGGGGCAGAGCCGCGAACGGGUGAGUAACACGUGGGUAACGUGCCCCGAUGACCGGGACAACCCGGGGAAACCCGGGCUAAUACCGGAUGUGCUGUCCCCGCAUCCGGGGGGAUUGGAAAGGAAGCUUCGGCCCCCCCACCGGGAUCGGCCCGCGGCCCAUUAGCUUGUUGGUGAGGUAACGGCUCACCAAGGCCGCGAUGGGUAGCUGGUCUGAGAGGACGAUCAGCCACACUGGGACUGAGACACGGCCCAGACUCCUACGGGAGGCAGCAGUGGGGAAUCUUGCGCAAUGCGCGAAAGCGUGACGCAGCAACGCCGCGUGGGGGAAGAAGGCCUUCGGGUUGUAAACCCCUUUCAGGAGGGACGAAGGUUGGGCGGUGAAUAGCCGACCUGACUGACGGUACCUCCAGAAGAAGCCCCGGCUAACUACGUGCCAGCCGCCGCAGUAACAC